rnacentral:lncRNA from 1 species
AUUUAAUUCACAUCACAUUAUAUAAAUAAGUAAAGAGCCAAAUCACAUUAUAAAUUGAAAUGAAAUAUAAAUCAUACUCAUAAAUAGAAAUGACAAUAAAUAAUAGCACCGACUCAAGUUUGGCCUGACAAUAGACAAGACGAUAAGUGAUAUCUAUAGAUAACUAAAAAGACCAUAUGUGUUGUUCUCAUGAUUGCAAUGUAUGAUUCUACAAACUAUCUUUCUAUCACAAAAGAUGGCCUUCAUUCACCAUCAGCUUUGGAUUAUUUGCUUGCUGAGUUGCUUCAGCCAAAUCACAUGCUCUGUCUUGAACUCCUCCCGGUGCCUAUAUAAAUUAAUGAAAUACAACAGUGUGUUACAUCUUAAUGAGAUGAAAACAUACAAGAUAACAAGGUAUAAGAAUGCCACUAAGAAGCUUACAAUCUAUGAAAUUAUGAACCUGAGUACAUUAUUAGCUAGAUUUGCGGCAUGAAGAUGGGGCGAUAAAACAAUAAAUUUGUUUGGCAGAACAAGAAGACACAAACUGGUAUAAAAAGUUGUCGGUCAAAAUAAUUUACAUGGAUCCCCACUGCACUUUUAAGUAUUGUGCUACUUAACAUAUUUCAUAAUUAGCUGCAUAAGUAUAGUUGUUUGAUGCUUUGGUUAAUACACAAGUUUAGAUCAACACAUCAUAAAAAAACCAUAAAAAACAGAUCAGUAAUGUACUUAGCAAAGCAAACACAAAAAUGUUUUUAGUAAGGAGUGGCAUCCAUUCAAUAUUGAACAAUCUCAGAAUGAUUUAAUAUCUAAACUCUAAAGGUCGCCACCAGACCAUCGCAGGCCACCUUAUUCCUAUUAAGUCUGUGUUUUCUCAUAUCUGAAUUGAUUUAGACAUGCUACGAAUUUGGCCGUUCAUCACCUUAGAUGCAACUAAGUGCCAUAAGCAACUAGUACUAGUACAGUAGACUACAGUAUUUGAAUCUGUUGUGUGCUUGCUCAUCUUCUCCAGCAGCUACAGCUACUUGUGUACUUGCACUACAGUUGUACGAUGCUUGAUGCUUCCUCAUUCUAAAUACAACAAAUAAAAAUACAAAUUAUGGGCAAAGGACAAUGAGCUUAAAUGUUAAGCAUACACAACCAGGUAAGGAAUUGUCAAGUACUGGACUGUAAAACAAUAGGAAGUGGAGAAGCAAGUAGUAAAAAGAUUAAGCUUCAGACUGUACCAACAUUGCAAGGCUGAUAAGAUUAUCUUGAUAUUGCAAACUUAACCUACUACCUACAGUGAGCAGUCAAUUAAUAUUUAAUGCACCUGCAUUAUAGUGGAAUAAAACAGAAGAGAAACAAUAUACUGACAAGCGAUCGCAUGGAGAAAAAAUAUUACAGAAUUAACAUAAUAACUUUCUCUUUCACCGAGCAGUAUUAGCAUCUGAAUAAACCUUUUAAUAUACAGAUUUUACAGUACCUAGCAACUAAGAAGACAUGGUAUGGCCCAUGAUAGGAGCCCUCAACAUAUGUUUAACUUAUUAACUAUUAUCAUAGAAUAUUAAUUUCUUGUGCAUAUAGCUUCUAAUAAAAGGCUAUUCCUAAUACAGUUUCAUUGUUAAUACUCUGGACACAGAGUGUAGUCACACAUUAGAUGUUCUUGAGCAUGCUGGAGAUUGAAUGAUCUUGCAGCAUAAAAGGGAAACCUGCGUUGAAAUUAUUCAUCGUAGAAAUUUAGAGAAAGGCAGGGCCAUAGAAGUAUAAACCAAUAAGAAUGACAUUGAUCUUACAUUCUUACUCCUCAUCUAGAUUAACUGCAACCAGGGAGAGGUGAUCUGAAGUAGGUCGUUAGAAGAAUCAAAUUCCAGAUCACAAAUGUUACAUCAGGAAAUUAUAGAAGAAAAAAAGUAAGCAGCGAAAUUUUACCAUCAAAUAGUUGGAAGGGGACCAGAUCUGAUGGUGCUACACGCGGGUUCCUUGAAGAGUUUCCAACUCAUCCCCUGGCCUCUUUGCAUCGUCGGGUUGCCUCUCCCAAACCUGAUCUCUCCACCACCGCUGUCUUGUUGGUUCGUCAGACGAAGCUGAUCUUCAAGUAGUUGAUGGUGGCGGGAGGGUGAGGCAGCGGCCGGAUCAUGGUGAGGCACGAGGUGAGAAACGAAGCUGGGCAAGGCGCCGGAGAUGGAGAGAGCGAUGGUCUUGAGCCAUCCAAGAAGUGGCGGUGGAGGUUGCAUGGAGGUCGAACCAGACGGCAAAUGUCGCAGGCUGGUGUCGGUGUAGUGGUGCCUGGGGACGUGGCAUCGAACAGAGAGAGGGUGGCGCGGCGGACCAGAGGGCAGAGGAGGGGAGGGAUUUUGGGUGGCGCUGCUGGCGGCGACUGACUUGGAGGCGCCGCCGGUGAGAGGAGAUCCGAGUCAGGUGG